ACCACUUCCUACACAUAAACUACAAGGAUCUCACCAAAGAUAAUAGGAAGAUGCAACACUUAAUAAAGAUGCACUCCGGGGUCCAUACUCUUAACAUAUUUUACGAAUUGGAUUCAUAACAUAUCAUGUAAAUAGAAAAAUGCGUAUCAAACAAAUUGCAAAAAGCAUAACAUAUCACAUGAAAUGGAUGACAUGAUAAUAUACAAUUGGAUGACGUAGUUAACAAAAAACAGGGAUCACUUUUGGCUCGUGAGCAACACUUUCUUAACUACUGACUGAAAUAAUGUAAAAGCUAGAUUGCAUCUUAAAGGGAUAGUUUGGAAUUUUGGCAACUUCCCUUGAGCUAGCGCUAGUUAGCAAUUGCGCUAAUGCUUGGUAGCAACUUCCUUCAAGCUAAACGCAGAUACAUAAAAAUGGUAUCCACGAGUUCAUCUGACUCUGCGUAGAUAACAGGCUUCAUUACCAAAAUUCCAAAUGAUCCCUUUAGACAACUUCCACCACAUCGGGUGAGGUUUCAGUAGUCUGAAAGUAUGUUAUUCAAAAAGAGCAAACAGUAAGUCAUGUCCUUCAUAUUAUAGCAGUGCUAUAGCCUAAGUUCUUUCUCUUUCCUUUCAGGACCACAUCGUUAAUGUCAGUACUCCCUGGACAUGAUUCUCAGUUAUCUGAACUGUGAAUGUGGACAUUUUCCAUUAAACUCCCCUUAACCUGGACACCCGCCUUAACCUUGUUCUGCACGAACAUUUUGUAGUGGUAGCUUUCGGCCUUGAGCCGGCAACUAAGAUUUCUUAUUACAUUCAUGGUACAUCGAUUCUCUACCACCUUACUCCUAUUUUUCAAUUAUUGUAGGUACUUACAAUUGCAUCUUGUAAGUGCAUUCUCACUACAUUACGAGUGGAUGGUUUCUUAUCCACUUAUCGUACAUCCUUUCAGGUUGUGAAUAAUUCAGUAGAUUGGGGUAGGUAUUUUCUGAGAAAAAGGGAGGCCGUAAUGAACUCUUAAUGAUCCUCAACCCAGAAUUAUUUAGCCAGACGGCUAUAAUGGAUUUCAGGAAGUUUGAGUUAUUGGUAGUUUGCCUGACAAUAGCUUACUCCAUCAGCCAAGCAAUGAGGAACUGAAGUGGGCCUUUAUCUGUUUAAAGCUAUAAAAUAUAAAACGUAAUGUCAACUUUGAGUAAGUCCUUAAAACCUCUUAAGGAUCCGCCCCUUUAAAAUGUUUACUUAAAAUUACAUACCCAACUCUAACUGCCUGAAGCUCAAGACCUGAAGCAAGGAUAUGCAUAUUAUUGAUACCAUUUGAAAGAACACUGAAGUUUGUGGGAAUGUGAAAUUAAUGUAGGAGAAUAUAACACAGAUCUGGUAAAAGAUAAAGAAAAAAAACAUGCGUUUUUUGUACCAUCUUUGAAAUGCAAGAGAACGGCAUGAUGUAUUAUUCCAGCCCAGACGCAAUUUAGAUUUUGGCCACUAGAUGGCAGCAGUGUAUGUGCAACGUUUUAGGCUGAUCCAAGCUCAAGACUGCCCAAAUGUGCCUAAUUGGUUUAUUAAUAACUUCAAGUUAACUGUGCACUCAAACAAUAGCAUGGUAUUCUUUCACUGUUAUAGCUACUGUAAAUUGGACAGUGCAGUUAGAUUAACAAGAAUUUAAGCUUUCUGCCAAUAUCAGAUGUCUAUGUCCUGGGAAAUUCUUGUUAUAACCUCAUGUCCCGCGGUGGAACCAACAAUCCUGUAGAGGUUAACCAGAUCAGAACACCUUCGAGGACCACCUUCAGGCACGGACUGAGAAUGAUGGAGGUUUUGGAACAGGGGGAGACUGAACAUUGACAAGGCAUAGGAGAGCUACCGGAGCAGAAUCAAGAAGGGGACCAAGUGCCACGACAUCCGGGAGAAUUACUUCAUUUGGAAGGCGAGACCUGGGACACCUCGCUGCUGUCGCUCCUAGCUGGGUUCACCAUCUGUUAAGGACCUAGGGGUUCUGCCCAACACCCAGAUGUGGAUCCACCUGAUGUCCUCCAUUAUCAACAACCCUCCAACUUUUCAUUACAUCACCUGCAGCUACUGUUAUUGUCAUGUUGUCAUUAUCUGCUAAGAAAGCUUUCUUGCUCUAUCACACUGGGCACAUAUGUGAGAUACACAGAUUAACUAUAAACACUAGCACUGCAAACACUCAGAUCAAAGAAAGCAGCAGUGCCUGGACCUUGCAGGAUCCUACUUCAAGUCCCCCUUCCGAGACUGGCUGCCUGUUGAGAACAAAUGACAGGCAGAACCUCCCAACCACCUCAAUAUUCCACACACCAGAAUUCAGUAUUUUAGUCUAUUAUUGCCAU